AGUGAACGCUGGCGGUAGGCCUAACGCAUGCAAGUCGAACGGCAGCACAGUAAGAGCUUGCUCUUACGGGUGGCGAGUGGCGGACGGGUGAGGAAUACAUCGGCAUCUACUUUUUCGUGGGGGUUAACGUAGGGAAACUUACGCUAAUACCGCAUACGACCUACGGGUGAAAGCAGGGGAUCUUCGGACCUUGCGCGAUUGAAUGAGCCGAUGUCGGAUUAGCUAGUUGGCGGGGUAAAGGCCCACCAAGGCGACGAUCCGUAGCUGGUCUGAGAGGAUGAUCAGCCACACUGGAACUGAGACACGGUCCAGACUCCUACGGGAGGCAGCAGUGGGGAAUAUUGGACAAUGGGCGCAAGCCUGAUCCAGCCAUACCGCGUGGGUGAAGAAGGCCUUCGGGUUGUAAAGCCCUUUUGUUGGGAAAGAAAAGCAGCAGGUUAAUACCCCGCGGUUCUGACGGUACCCAAAGAAUAAGCACCGGCUAACUUCGUG
rnacentral:rRNA from 1 species